UCUCCGUUAUCCGGAGCAGUCCACGUAGAGUUCCCUCCUUGCGGAGUGGCAACUACGUGCAGGGGUUGCGCUCGUUGCGGGACUUAACCCAACAUCUCACGACACGAGCUGACGACAACCAUGCACCACCUGUGUACGACCCUUGCGGACCCGGCGUCUCUGCCGGAUUUCCGUACAUGUCAAACCCAGGUAAGGUUCUUCGCGUUGCAUCGAAUUAAGCCACAUGCUCCGCCGCUUGUGCGGGCCCCCGUCAAUUCCUUUGAGUUUCAGCCUUGCGGCCGUACUCCCCAGGCGGGGCACUUACUGCGUUAGCGACGGCACCGGGAGGGUCGCUCCCCCCGACGCCUAGUGCCCAUCGUUUACAGCGUGGACUAC
rnacentral:misc_RNA from 1 species